CCUACGGGUGGCAGCAGUGGGGAAUAUUGCUCAAUGGGGGAAACCCUGAAGCAGCAACGCCGCGUGGAGGAUGAAGGUCCUCGGCUUGUAAACCCCUUUUGUUAGUGAAGAAAAUGACGGUACCUAACGAAGAAGCCCCGGCUAACUACGUGCCAGCAGCCGCGGUAAUACGGAGGGUGCAGGCGUUAUCCGGAAUCACUGGGCGUAAAGGGGGCGUAGGCGGGGUAGCAAGUCAGUUGUUAAUUCCUAUGGCUUAACCACAGAACUGCAUUUGAAACUGGGUGGCUGGAGUAUGGGAGGGGUAGGCGGAAUGCGCGGUGUAGGGGUGAAAUGCGUAGAGAUCAGGAGGAACACCGAUUGCGAAGGCGGCCUGCUGGAACAAAACUGACGCUGAGGCGCGAAAGCGUGGGGAGCAAACAGGAUUAGAUACCCCUGUAGUC
rnacentral:rRNA from 1 species